AUGGUUAUAUGGUUCUAAUGGUGUUGGAACAAGUCACAGACAGAGAUACUCUUGUUCUGCAACACACUCCAUUCAAAGGAUUCAAGUUUCAACAUGUUAAGAAUGUGGAUUGGCUGAUUACUGUUUGUGUGUUAAGAUGGUUGCGCACAACUUCAAAGAAGGGAAAAGCUGAGAUAAUACAAAGAGAUUCUACGGAGAGCAAACCUGAGAAACUGCAGAGAACUUCAAAACAUAGGAUGAGGCAUCCUCACUCCCAAUGGUCUUCAAAGUCUUGGUCUUUCUGGUUUAGGAUUAAGUACUGGUUUUGAGCGCCUGCAUUACAUGUUGGAGAGAGUAUGGGAUCCUAUUUUAGUUCCUGGAUCACCAAAGCGUAUUAGUCACUUCUUCUUAAACGCUGUAAGAGAAUUGUUAGUCUCAGUGUAUUAUCUGUUCUAAAAAUGGAAUCAAUAGUCUGAUAUGGUUGGAUCUGUUUUGCA